rnacentral:RNase_P_RNA from 1 species
GGCAGAGGAAGCCCGGUCCCCGUGGGUUCGCUCCCGGCGUUUCGCGUCGGCGACGCGCCCAUGACGGAAAGUCCCCCCACCCUCCGGGCAGGUGACCGGGCGCAAGCCCGGAGCGGGAGACCGCUGGCACUGGAACAGAAACGAGACCGCUUCCGCCGAGCGAUGAGGCGCGAGGGCCGCCGACGGCGGCCCUCGGCGCUUGCGGCCCUGCCGCAAGCGCGCGAACCGACCCGCAAGGGAAGGGAGUUAACCCGCCGAGCGCGCGUGGUCGUUAGACCGCGAGGAGACGCGGAAGAACGGAUGGAACGGCGAAUCCUCACCGGUGCAAGCCCGUCGCACUUGGUAGCCCGGAGACGCGACGGGUGCUCAGCCGAAUGCCGGGUGAAAACAGAAGGGGGCUUACUACCCUCAGCC